GGAACAACUUGCUGUGCUGGAUGCUGAAUACAAAAGAGUGAGCCUCAACACUUAAGGUUUGUGCUGAGUUUCACCAUAUCAGAGAAAGUGGCACACACCAGCAAGAUUUCACAGAUGUUGCAUGACAUUCGAAAUGUUUGAUCUUCAGUGUACGUGUGUGAGGAGAACUGUUCUUCAGGACAUGAAAUGUAAGUAUUAAGUGCAUUAAUAGAUCUGAAAUAGAGUGGGGGAACUAUGACGUCAGAACCAGGAAGUGUAAUUCGCUGCGGGUUCCUUUGAGAUUUUCCUAUGGGUU